GAGACAGCAGUCGCCGCGGUAAUACGAAGGGUGCAAGCGUUACUCGGAAUUACUGGGCGUAAAGCGUGCGUAGGUGGUGGUUUAAGUCCGUUGUGAAAGCCCUGGGCUCAACCUGGGAAUUGCAGUGGAUACUGGGUCACUAGAGUGUGGUAGAGGAUAGUGGAAUUUCCGGUGUAGCAGUGAAAUGCGUAGAGAUCGGAAGGAACAUCUGUGGCGAAGGCGACUAUCUGGGCCAACACUGACACUGAGGCACGAAAGCGUGGGGAGCAAACAGGAUUAGAUACCCCAGUAGUCCCUGUCUCUUAUAC
rnacentral:rRNA from 1 species